rnacentral:rRNA from 1 species
ACACUCCUGCGGGAGGCAGCAGUGGGGAAUUUUGGACAAUGGGCGAAAGCCUGAUCCAGCAAUGCCGCGUGAGUGAAGAAGGCCUUCGGGUUGUAAAGCUCUUUUGUCAGGGAAGAAACGGUGAGAGCUAAUAUCUCUUGCUAAUGACGGUACCUGAAGAAUAAGCACCGGCUAACUACGUGCCAGCAGCCGCGGUAAUACGUAGGGUGCAAGCGUUAAUCGGAAUUACUGGGCGUAAAGCGUGCGCAGGCGGUUUUGUAAGUCUGAUGUGAAAUCCCCGGGCUCAACCUGGGAAUUGCAUUGGAGACUGCAAGGCUAGAAUCUGGCAGAGGGGGGUAGAAUUCCACGUGUAGCAGUGAAAUGCGUAGAUAUGUGGAGGAACACCGAUGGCGAAGGCAGCCCCCUGGGUCAAGAUUGACGCUCAUGCACGAAAGCGUGGGGAGCAAACAGGAUUAGAUACCCCGGUAGUCCCAUG